UCGCCUGUUUAACAAAAACAUCGCCUCUUGAACCCUAUAAGAGGUCCAGCCUGCCCAGUGACUCUGUUCAACGGCCGCGGUAUCCUAACCGUGCGAAGGUAGCGUAAUCACUUGUUCUUUAAAUGUGGACUAGUAUGAAUGGCACCACGAAGGUUAUACUGUCUCCUUUUUCUAAUCAGUGAAACUAAUCUCCCCGUGAAGAAGCGGGGAUAAAAUUAUAAGACGAGAAGACCCUAUGGAGCUUUAAACAACACAGCACUUGCCACACAUUAUUAAAAUUUCAGAAUCUUUAACUACCCUAAGCAACAUGACUGUGAGUUUUUGGUUGGGGUGACCGCGGAGCAUAACACAACCUCCAUGUUGAAAGAAUCUUUUUCUAAGCUAAGAACUACAACUCUAAGCAUCAAUACAUUGACAUCCAUUGACCCAAUAUACUUGAACAACGAACCAAGUUACCCUAGGGAUAACAGCGCAAUCCACUUCAAGAGCUCCUAUCGACAAGUGGGUUUACGACCUCGAUGUUGGAUCAGGGUUUCCCAGUGGUGCAGCCGCUACUAAAGGUUCGUUUGUUCAACGAUUAAAACCCUACGUGAUUGAGUUCAGACCGGA
rnacentral:rRNA from 1 species